rnacentral:misc_RNA from 1 species
CCUUCUACACUCGACGUUCAAAAUCGAACGGUCAAGCGUCAAUUGCGCAAUCCAUCGUUCAGUCAGGGUGAUCCCCACGGAAACCCUAUAUGUCCCAUGUGUGUGUUUGUUGGUGGUAUUCACAGGCUUAAUUCAAGUGGCCAUUGAACGAACGAAGCGGCGCAAUGCGCCAAUCGCGAGAAAAGCGGUCGGGUUUACCGAUCGGAUUACUCCCACGACGGGUGUUGUUUCUUUCGUGUUUACGUUGUGUUUUUACUGUUUCUUUGCUUCCC